CCCCCUUUUCUUUUGUUUCUCUUUUCCUUUUUUUUUCUUUUUUUCUUUUAUUUUUUCCAUCCUUUCAUUUAUUUUUUCUCUUUUUUCUUUUAUUUUUUCCUUCAUUUUAUUUAUGUAUCCUUUCUUCUUUUCAUUUCUGGUUUUUUCCUUCUUUCAUGCUUUCUUUUCUUUUUUCCCCCUUUCCUUUCUUUUCAUUUUUCCCUUUUCCUUCCCCUUCCCCCCUUUCCUUCCCUUGUUUUAAUUUUCCUUUAUUUCUCUUUCCUGUCUCUUUUCCUCUCCUUUACCUUUUUCUCUUCCCUUACUUCCAUCUAUUCACUUCUCCCACUUCAUUUUCCCUCACUGACUCCACUCCGUUCCUCCCCUCAUUCCCUCACUUCACCAUCACACCCCCCUCCAUCUCUCUUUGCCCCCUCCCCACACCCAGCCCAGCAGCAGCUCCCCCUGGGAUAUCCCCACGUUCCCGGAGACCUUUGGGGUUUCCUCCUGCCUGUUGGGGUGGGGGCAGUGGGUUUUUAAGCCCCCAAAUGCCCAUUUCAGGGGAAACACCUUUGGUUGCACAGUGAUGCUGCGAUGUGCGUCGGUGUAAAGCGGCUCCUGGAAUAGGAGAAGACGAAAGUUGCUCCUGAGUUCGCUGCCUGCAGGGCUGCUGUGGGGAGGCUGCUGCUGGCACGGAUCCAAGUGAAUGAGUGGACAGCUGGCUACAGAGGAGAGACAGACUCUGUUUGAUCACCUUUUCCAGUAAGUACCCUUACAUUUCUAGGAUGAGACUUUCUAUAGUGCCUACUGUUGUGAUGCUGUCUUGUGUCAUCAGGUUGACUUCACUAGAGAGGAGCUCUAACUCUGCUUAUUUGGGCAACACUGCCAUAGAAACACGAACUCCUUUGGCUUAACUUGUUUGGUUUUGGGAGAAAUGGAAGUUGAUGGUUCUAGCUCCUUUUAUCCGAAGUGCUGCAUUCUGCCUGUAGUCCACUUCCAGUGGUGUGCACUUUCCAGCAGAACAAAGAACCAAUAUGGUUGUGCCUUGUACCUGUUUGAGGCUGCAGGGAAAUCUAUGCUGAAGGCGUUGCCACAUAAUUGAAUAAUGUGUCAUGUGUGGUUUCCUGUGCUGCAGAGCAGAAGAGGCCCUGGGGUCAGGAGAGCAAGAGUUCACCUGCUCUGUUCCAGCCUUGCUGAACUCAAGGAGGAGGGAGGAUGAGGAACCUGCUCACGUGCAGGGGUGACUCUUAGAGGCAUGCUGUGAUAUCGGUUAAAUGAGGUUUGACUUGACUUAUGGGAUGGAAAGGGUAUGAAGAAAGCACUGGAAAGCGUUGCCUAGUAUGUGGCAAGGAUGGCUUUUUUUUUUUCCUGAAAGUAAAGGAGAAAAUUCUUAUUUCAUGGGGACUUUUUACACGUUAAAAUAUCUUGCAUGCACACUAAUGGACUGUAAUAACGAGCCUAUGCUUUAUGAAGUGUCUACAAAUAUUGUUAAACUUGUUACUGUGAGGGACGUCAGUUAAUAUAUACUGGUUAACUGGAACAUGUUGGGCCAUCUGGUGCACAGCCAGGCUGAAAAUAGUUAACUGCCUACUGUAGGUAUCUGCAAGCUGACUCUCAGCUUUUGGAUGUAAAAUGCAGGCACAGACCCAGCAGGUGAGUGUGGGAGCUGCGAUGGCUGAGACCACUGCACAAUUAAUUUCACUGUAACAACCCUAGCAGGCCACUCUCCUAAGGAUAGCAUGGGAUGAUGAAUUUUAGAACCGAAGGUGUUCAUAAACAAAAGACAAGGGGAAAUUGUGUGCUUGGAAACUGGAAUGUGUUAGCAGGUUGGUUUAAAAACGUCCUGGGAGCAGGGCAGAUAAUGCUUGUGCUUCUAUGCAAGAAGGGGAAAAAGAAGCUAUCUUAUGUGUGUCUUCUUAUCUUCUCACCUCUGGCAAGUAUCAUGAGACAUGCCUGAUGUCCUUGGUUCAGAUGAUCUGUUCCUACCUAAUGCACCGUUAAUUUAGCUGUUUGCUUCUGAAUUCAGGACAGUCUUUCUACCUUUGGCACCUUUUGUAGUGUGCCAAACACAGUGGGGUCUCCCUGCUCAGCUGGCACAAUGGCUGCUGCCACAAACGCCGUGAGGAAUGCUAAAACUGAAAGUAACAGAGAGGUCAUGUGAAGAACAAAUGAUGCUGCUACUGGACAGUGCUGCCCCAUGGUCAUAAUCGACAGGUCUAAUCCCAAGUGUGUUUAGAGUCAGGUCCGCUGACUUCAGUAGCUAAAAUAAGUCAAUAUCAUUGAAUUCUCUUUCUCCUUGCGUAUCUUAGGGAGAGUACUGUAAGCUGUAGCCUGACAGCUGUGCAAUCUGCAGGAGGCCCACACGGCUGCAUAGGCUUCCCCAAGGCAUAAUUUGGCCUGCAGAACACUUAUUUCAGCCGAUGCUGUGUGUGGCAGGCUCAGCACUGACCUUCAGAACCAGGUAUGCUUUUGCGGGCCUGAUGAAGAACAGAAGUAGGAGACAAGGAUUUGAGGCCUGGAGUCCCUUCGAAGGGCAGAAGAUUGUGAUUAAAGCAAGAAGUCUGCGUAUAUGAAUUCAGAUCAGUAGGAGAUGGCAGAGGGAUGGAGCAGAGGAGAUGUUGGAAACAAGCUCUGUCUUAGAUUGCCAUAGAUUGGAAUGGGAAAAGAAACUGUUUCAAAGAAGUCCUUAACAAGUCAUUGUUUCCCAAGACUGUGCACUGAAUGUCUAAAUAACUGGGCUGGGGUUGGAAUAUUAGGAAGCUUCUCUUCAAGCAUCACAUGAGGCUUCGUGACUUGGCAGGAAAGCUACAUGUUGGGGGAGGCUGUAUUGCAGGGCCCUUGCUGUAAAUGGAUGUGGUUGAUGCUUCCUGUGCAAGCAGUGGGCUCACUGUGGAUGCUUGCCCUCUGUCUGCUCACAACAGCAGUUAAGAAUGCAAAGUGAGGGCGGUUUGGUAUUGUACUCUAGUAUUCCAGACUGAAAGAUCCAAGGCUGAUUCAGCUGUCCUCAUUACAGACGAUGUUCAGUGACUUUGACCAUCUUCACUGCUCUUCUGCCCUCUCUCCUUCUGACAAGAACUUCUGGUCGUGGUGCACAUCUGGGUUUUCCUCUCUUCAGUGUUCUUGAAACCCGACUUGUUAGAAGCUUGAAAGAGCCAUUUGGUUUGGGGCCCAGGCCUUUUGUUUCAGUGCUGUGUUUAUCACCCUGGAAAAGAGGCCAGGAAUUUUGUGUGCUCCACAUAAUAAUAAGCCAUAGAUAUAUAUAUUUUUUUCUAAAAGGCAGAAAUUUGUGCCUAAUCUAAAGACUGUAUCAGAAAGGCUAUGGCUAAACCUGAUGCAUUCCAGUGCACUGAGUCACUAGGACAAUAUAGUAUUUAACAAAGAGCCCUGGCAGAUAUUGUGUGCCUUUGUGCUGAUGCUGUCAGACGGGAUAUAUGACAUAUCUUUGUAUCCUGCAGCAAUUUCAGGAAACUAAAUGGCUGUUAGCAUGCACUGCCUCUUCUAAACGGGGACACAAAGCGCUUCAGAUGUUAAAGCUUCUCCCACCCUCCAUUGGUUAAGAGGGGAAAUUGUAUCAAAAAAAAAAAAAAAAAAGAAUAGCUCUUAUGUGGAAAAACAUAGAGCUGUGUCAUCAAACAGGUACUAAUUCUGCCAGGAAGAGACAUGCUCCUCCAUCCCCUCUGCUUUGCAUAAGUGCUGUUUAUUUUAUUAGUACUGUGGCUUCCCAAAAGUAGGACUGAAAUACAGCACGACUAAAAUCUUAGCGUUGUAGUCCCAGGUCUGCAGUGAUGGUCUGCAGACUGACAUACCCGGGCUGGGCCAGCUCUGUGGUUUUGUAUUUCAGCCCUGACUCACGUGCAUGGCUUUUGUGCUACUCUAAGGUGAAUCACAGCUCCUGCAAGUGUGGUUAAGGUCCUGCCCUGUGGCCAGGCUGAGAAGCCAGGUUCUCAAGUCACAGUUUUCUUCCUCAGCACUGAGUCACAGCUCUGAGACCCAUCUAGAGAAUUUCAGGUAUAGUUUAGUAAGAUAGUAAAUGGAGAGUAAUUUUUAAUGUGGUUGGGAUCCAAACAGCCAAAUAACUGUAGGAUUCAAGGUUAUUUUUGGCUGGGCAGUC
ensembl:lncRNA